UUUUAUCCCCCGAUAGCUUACCAAGGGGUAUCUUAAGGUAGUAGAUUGGUCAGUGGGGGAUUGCCGGAUUGGGAGUUUGAUGGUAAAAGUGAGGAUACAAGACACAGAUUUAUACAUGUUCGAGCCGCCAGAGUAGCGUAAUACCUUACGACCUAUGUGGGGUGUUGUAUAUUACGCCUUGCACUUGGGUGUUGUUUGGUGUUCUUAGUUCUACAAGGAUAUGAUCUAGGUAACGUUGCCCUCCUUUAUAUACUCCAGGGGCGGGAUUAUUAGUCGGUUACAAGGUAGGAGUCCUAGUAGGAUUACAAGGUACGAGUCCCAGUAGGAUUAUAGGGGAAUCCUAAUAGGAGUCCGUCUUCUUCCUUCCUUGCGGGUACUGAGGUUCUAUCCCCGACAAGCCCCCAAGCGCUUCAUAGUCGAAUGUAGUAGCAUUUGAGUACUUUUCAGAUCCUUACCGAGUAGUUUAGUGCUCCUCGAGUAUUUUGUCUGACUGAAUCUUCAAAAUUCCUCAAAACUGUCAUGAGGCUAUGGUGUGCUAUCAUCUUGAUUUUGUAAUUUUCAUCUUUGUAUUGUGAUACGGAGGAUGGAAAAAGUCACAUUCAUAUGGAGUAGCCCCUGAGCCUUAGGUUGAAUCGAAGAAUCAGGCUGAAGGUCAAUAAAAUCUUGAAUCUUCUUCUUUCAUCUUGAAAAAAAUCAACUCUUGGGUGUAGCUUAUCAGCCUUCGAGCCUUGGAACGACAAGAAUAAUCAAUUCAAAGGUUUAGCGAGCCUAGUCUUCAUGCCAGUCAUCAUCCGAGUAGUUCUACA
rnacentral:lncRNA from 1 species